AGUGCAGUGGUGUUUACAACUAAUUGAUCACAACCAGUUACAGAUUCCUUUGUUCCUUCUCUACUCCCACUGCUCCACU
rnacentral:sRNA from 1 species